CCUACGGGUGGCAGCAGUGGGGAAUAUUGCUCAAUGGGCGAAACUCUGAACCAGCAAAGCCGCGUGAAGGAAGACGGUUUUCGGAUUUUUAAACUUCUUUUUUAGUGAAGUAUAAGGAGGCAAGCUUAGCAGUAAGCAACGACUUUCUCCGUGCCAGUAGCCGCGGUAAUACGCAGGCGGCGAGCGUUGUCCGGAGUUACUGGGUGUAAAGGGAGCGCAGGCGGGGAGCCAAGUCAGCUGUGAAAUUUUAGGGCUUAACUGGUAGACUGCAAUUGAAACUGGUAGUCUUGAGUGAAGUAGAGGUAGGCGGAAUUCGGGGUGUAGCGGUGAAAUGCGUAGAUAUUCGGAAGAACACCGAUGGCGAAGGCAGCCAACUAAGCUUUAACUGACACUGAGGCUCGAAAGUGUGGGGAGCAAACAGGAUUAGAUACCCCUGUAGUC
rnacentral:rRNA from 1 species